rfam:Myotis brandtii contig181120, whole genome shotgun sequence.
GGUGGUUCUUGGGUGGCACACCCCAGAAUUGAGCUCACUCCUCUCUGGUUCCAGGUGCGUCACCCGAGAACCGCC